rnacentral:lncRNA from 1 species
GAUAAACGGUUUGGGUCAUGGCAAAACCCAAAUAGUUAAUUUUUGGAGGGGGAUUUUUCGGUUUAGGACCAAAUGGGUUGGAGAAGGCCUGGGGAGUUGGGAUACUGCCCCUCUUGCCAAUUGAUUUUGGGGUACAACCUAAACUUCCUUCAUAGUAUCAGAGCAGGUUACCCACGUAUGAAGGCCAACGACCACAUGUG